rnacentral:rRNA from 1 species
GGCUCAGAUUGAACGCUGGCGGAAUGCUUUACACAUGCAAGUCGAACGGCAGCACGGACUUCGGUCUGGUGGCGAGUGGCGAACGGGUGAGUAAUAUAUCGGAACGUGCCCAGUCGUGGGGGAUAACGUAGUGAAAGUUACGCUAAUACCGCAUACGAUCUACGGAUGAAAGCGGGGGACUCGCAAGAGCCUCGCGCGAUUGGAGCGGCCGAUAUCAGAUUAGGUAGUUGGUGGGGUAAAGGCUCACCAAGCCAACGAUCUGUAGCUGGUCUGAGAGGACGACCAGCCACACUGGAACUGAGACACGGUCCAGACUCCUACGGGAGGCAGCAGUGGGGAAUUUUGGACAAUGGGCGAAAGCCUGAUCCAGCCAUUCCGCGUGCAGGAUGAAGGCCCUCGGGUUGUAAACUGCUUUUGUACAGAACGAAAAGGUUUCUACUAAUACUAGGAGCUCAUGACGGUACUGUAAGAAUAAGCACCGGCUAACUACGUG